rnacentral:lncRNA from 10 species
CAAGGAAAUGCACAAUCCUUCCUUACCUCUGGCCUCAGAACUCUCAGCAUCUCAUUGAUUAGCAACCUCAUCUGUGGCAAAUCUAAGGUUCAGAGGAAAAAGAACAGAUUUGCGACCGGGCACGUUGGCUCAUGCCUGUAAUCCCAGCACUUUGGGAGGCCGAGGUGGGUGGAUCACCUGAGGUCAGGAGUUCGAGACCAGCCUGACCAACAUGGAGAAACCCCGUCUCUACUAAAAAUACAAAAAAAAUUAGCCAGGCGUGGUGGCGCAUGCCUGUAAUCCCAGCUACUCGGGAGGCUGAGGCAGGAGAAUUGCUUGAACCUGGGAGGUGGAGGUUGUGGUACCAGCCUGGGCAACAAGAGCAAAACUUCAUCUCAAAAACACAAACAAACAAACAAAAAAGAACAGAUUUGCUUUUUUCUUAAUAAAGAAAAAUGUUUUGAAUUCACUCUGUAGAAAUUUAAAACUGCUUGAUGUUUUAGUGAUCAAAAUAAAAU